rnacentral:lncRNA from 1 species
CUUAAAGCUAGGAGGUCUGGGAAUAACAAAUACCAAGUUCUGAAAGAAAAUAAAUGCUAACCAGGAAUCUUAUAUCUAGAAAAAUUAAGCUUCAGAUUUGAAGAUGAAAUUUAAACCUUCCAUAAUAAACAAAAGUUAAAAGAACUCACAACUAGAAAGCCUGCACUUCAGAACAUUCUCAACAAAAUAUUCCAUGAAGAUGCAAUGGAACAAAAAAGUGAAACCAGCAGAAGGAGGCACUACAGUGAAGGAUAGUCAACCACAGGAGAAACUAGUUCAAAUUAAAAACUAGAAAUGAACCCAAAUGACCAGGAACACAAAUCACCUCUCAAUAAUAACCUUGAACUCCAAUGGACUAAACUCGUCAAUCAAAAGCCUCAGACUGGCAGAUUAGACUAAAAAACAAGACCCAACAACAGGCUGUCUCCAAGAGAGUCACCUCCUAGACAAAGACAUCCCCAGACUGGAGGUGAAAGGAUGGGAGAAAACAUGUCACUCACAUGGACUGUGUCAACAAGCAGGGGUUUCUAUCCUACCAGAUAAAGUGGACUUCAAGCCAAAGUUAAUUAGGAGGGACAGGAGGACAUUUCAUACUGCUUAAGGGAUUCAUACAUCAACAACAUAGCAACUGUAAAUAUUUAUGCCCCAAACAAUGGAGUAUCUAAAUGCAUUAAAUAAAGCCUUCUCAAUUUCAAGAAUCAAAUAGCCACACAAUAAUUCUGGGUGACUUUAACAUGACUCUGUCACCACUGGAUAGAUCCUCCAAACGAAAGCUAAAUAAAGAAGCUAUAAAAGUAAAAAAUACAGUUGAUAAUUUAGACUUAUCAGACAUAUAUAAAAUACUUCAUCCAUCAAUGACUGAGUACACAUUUUUCUCAGCAGCACACAGAUCCUUCUUUAAUAUAGACCAUGUUAUGUAACAUAUGUUGACAUACAAUUGUAGUAUUACCUUAUAUAUUCUUACCAUCUGUGGGGUCAUUUUGAGAGCUCCCUUUCCAUUGAUAUUAAAUUUUCUGUUCUUGCUUUUUUCUUGAUUCGACUUGUUUUUUAAAUAAAAUUUUAGCUGUAUUAUUUCUUCUCUAUUUCAUAUAUUCCUGCUCUUAUUUUUCCUUCCUACUAUAUAAUUUGAAAACAAUUUGAUUGUUAUUGUAGCUUCUUUCUGAUACAAAUGCUUCAAGUUAUAAAUAUUCAUCUGAUUACGGUUUCAUUCCAGACAUCCUG